UCUCGGCCUAUCAGCUUGUUGGUGAGGUAAUGGCUUACCAAGGCGACGACGGGUAGCCGGCCUGAGAGGGUGACCGGCCACACUGGGACUGAGACACGGCCCAGACUCCUACGGGAGGCAGCAGUGGGGAAUAUUGCACAAUGGGCGCAAGCCUGAUGCAGCGACGCCGCGUGAGGGAUGACGGCCUUCGGGUUGUAAACCUCUUUCAGUAGGGAAGAAGCCGCAAGGUGACGGUACCUGCAGAAGAAGCGCCGGGCUAACUACGUGCCAGCAGCCGCGGUAAUACGUAGGGCGCAAGCGUUUUCCGGGAAUUAUUGGGCGAAAAGAGCUCGUAGGCGGUUUGUCGCGUCUGCCGUGAAAGUCCGGGGCUCAACUCCGGAUCUGCGGUGGGUACGGGCAGACUAGAGUGAUGUAGGGGAGACUGGAAUUCCUGGUGUAGCGGUGAAAUGCGCAGAUAUCAGGAGGAACACCGAUGGCGAAGGCAGGUCUCUGGGCAUUAACUGACGCUGAGGAGCGAAAGCAUGGGGAGCGAACAGGAUUAGAUACCCUGGUAGUCCAUGCCGUAAACGUUGGGCACUAGGUGUGGGGGACAUUCCACGUUUUCCGCGCCGUAGCUAACGCAUUAAGUGCCCCGCCUGGGGAGUACGGCCGCAAGGCUAAAACUCAAAGGAAUUGACGGGGGCCCGCACAAGCGGCGGAGCAUGCGGAUUAAUUCGAUGCAACGCGAAGAACCUUACCAAGGCUUGACAUGAACCGGACCGCCGCAGAAAUGUGGUUUCCCCUUUGGGGCUGGUUUACAGGUGGUGCAUGGUUGUCGUCAGCUCGUGUCGUGAGAUGUUGGGUUAAGUCCCGCAACGAGCGCAACCCUCGUUCUAUGUUGCCAGCACGUGAUGGUGGGGACUCAUAGGAGACUGCCGGGGUCAACUCGGAGGAAGGUGGGGACGACGUCAAAUCAUCAUGCCCCUUAUGUCUUGGGCUUCACGCAUGCUACAAUGGCCGGUACAAAGGGUUGCGAUACUGUGAGGUGGAGCUAAUCCCAAAAAGCCGGUCUCAGUUCGGAUUGGGGUAUGCAACUCGACCUUA
rnacentral:rRNA from 1 species